rnacentral:rRNA from 1 species
CCUUAGAUAGCGCAGCGAUGCUCCUGGUAUCAGUGUACGAUAGCGUGCUCUCUAGAGUUGAGUGGUGGACGGGUGAGUAAUGUCUGGGAAACUGCCUGAUGGAGGGGGAUAACUACUGGAAACGGUAGCUAAUACCGCAUAACGUCGCAAGACCAAAGAGGGGGACCUUCGGGCCUCUUGCCAUCAGAUGUGCCCAGAUGGGAUUAGCUAGUAGGUGGGGUAACGGCUCACCUAGGGCGAUGCAGUUCCAUGGCUGGUCUAGAGAGGAUGACCAUGCCUCACUGGAUCUGAGACACGUUCCAGACUCCUACGGGAGGCAGUGCGAGUGGGGAAUAUGGUGCACAAUCGGGCGUCAAGGCUGCAUGCAGGCCAUGCCUCGUGUUAUAGAAGAAAGGCCUUUCGGGGUUGUUAAGUUACUUUCAGCCGGGGAGGGAGGGUGUUGUUGGUUAAUAACCUCAUGCAAUUGACGUUACCGGCUGGAAGGAGGCACCGGGUAAUUUCGUGCCCAGCCAGCCGGCGGUAAUACUGGAGGGGUGCAAGCGGUUAAUCGGGAAUUACUGGGGCGUAAAGCGCACGCAGGCGGUCUGUCAAGUCUGGAUGUUGAAAUCCCCGGGCUCAACCUGGGGACUUGCAUUCGAAACUGGCAGGGUAGAGUCUUGUAGAGGGGGGGUAGAAUUCCAGGUGUAGCGGUGAAAUGCGUAGAGAUCUGGAGGAAUACCGGUGGCGAAGGCGGCCCCCUGGACAAAAGACUGACGCUCAGGUGCGAAAGCGUGGGGAGCAAACAGGAUUAGAUACCCUGGUAGUCCACGCCGUAAACGAUGUCGAUUUGGAGGUUGUGCCCUUGAGGCGUGGCUUCCGGAGCUAACGCGUUAAAUCGACCGCCUGGGGAGUACGGCCGCAAGGUUAAAACUCAAAUGAAUUUGACGGGGGCCCGCCACAAGCGGUGGAGCAUGUGGUUUAAUUUGAUGCAACGCGAAGAAGCUUUACCUGGGUCUUGACAUUCCACAGAACUUUGCAAGAGAUGCGUUUGGUGCCUUUCGGGAACUGAUGAAGACAGGUGCUGCAUGGCUGUCGUCAGCUCGUGUUGUGAAAUGUUGGGUUAAAGUCCCGCAAACGAGCGCAAUCCUUAUCCUUUGUUGGCAGCGGUUAAGGCCGGGACCUCAAAGGAGACUGGCAGUGGUAUACCUGGAGGACGGUGGGGAUGAACGUCAAGUCAUCUAUGGCCCUUACGACCAGGGCUACACACGUGCUACAAUUGCGCAUACAUAGUGAAGCGACCUCGCGAGAGCAAGCGGACCUCAUAAAGUGCGUCGUAGUCCGGAUUGGAGUUUGCAACUCGACUCCAUGAAGUCGGAAUCGCUAGUAAUCGUAGAUCAGAAUGCUACGGUGAAUACGUUCCCGGGCCUUUGUUUUUGCGCCCGUCACUCCAACGAGGGGGCCCUAAAGAAGUAGUUGGGUUAAUCAGUGGUAACAAUGUAGCCGUUUUGGUGACUUCUU